rnacentral:rRNA from 1 species
GAUGAACGCUAGCUACAGGCUUAACACAUGCGAGUCGCGGGGCAGCAUGGGGGUUGCUUGCAAUCCCCGAUGGCGACCGGCGCACGGGUGAGUAACGCGUAUUCAACCUGCCCUUCACCACGGGAUAACCCGGCGAAAGUCGGACUAAUACCGUAUGUUGUCCAUUGACGGCAUCCGAUUUGGACGAAAGGCUUGGCGGUGAGGGAUGGGGAUGCGUCCGAUUAGCCAGACGGCGGGGUAACGGCCCACCGUGGCUACGAUCGGUAGGGGUUCUGAGAGGAAGGUCCCCCACACUGGAACUGAGACACGGUCCAGACUCCUACGGGAGGCAGCAGUGAGGAAUAUUGGUCAAUGGGCGUAAGCCUGAACCAGCCAAGUAGCGUGCAGGAUGACGGCCCUAUGGGUUGUAAACUGCUUUUAUGCGGGGAUAAAGUGGCCCACGUGUGGGCUUUUGCAGGUACCGCAUGAAUAAGGACCGGCUAAUUCCGUG